rnacentral:rRNA from 1 species
GACUCCUACGGGAGGCAGCAGUGGGGAAUAUUGCACAAUGGGCGAAAGCCUGAUGCAGCAAUGCCGCGUGUGUGAAGAAGGCCUGCGGGUUGUAAAGCACUUUUAUCAGAAACGAAAAACCGGAACUAAUAUUUCCGGCAUUGACGGUACCUGAAGAAUAGCCACCGGCUAACUAAGUGCCAGCAGCCGCGGUAAUACUUAGGGUGCGAGCGUUAAUCGGAAUUACUGGGCGUAAAGCGAGUGUAGGCGGCUGUAUAAGUCGGAUGUGAAAGCCCUGGGCUCUCCUGGGAAUUGCAUUCCAAACUGCACAGCUAGAGUUUGGUAGAGGUAAGUGGAAUUCAAGGUGUAGCGGUGAAAUGCGUAAAUAUCUUGAGGAACAUCGAUGGCGAAGGCGGCUUACUGGACCAAAACUGACGCUGAAGCUCGAAAGCGUGGGGAGCAAACAGGAUUAAAUACCCUGGUAAUCCACGCCCUAAACGAUGUCAACUAGACGUUGGGUUCAUUUGAGACUUUAGUGUCGAAGCUAACGCGUUAAGUUGACCGCCUGGGGAGUACGGCCGCAAGGUUGAAACUCAAAGGAAUUGACGGGGGCCCGCACAAGAAAU